UAAAGCACGCAGGGGAGUCCCGCCAAGGGGACUGAGAGGCGUUUAGGUGCGGGACAUUCCGGACCGGCGGCGCGACCCUUUGAACCUGACCCAGUUGAUACUGGCGUAGGAAGCUAGGCGCGCAUGGCU
rnacentral:ncRNA from 2 species